rnacentral:rRNA from 1 species
GACGAACGCUGGCGGCGUGCUUAACACAUGCAAGUCGAGCGGGGGCCAUCUGGUGGCAACACUGGGGAAGCUCUAGCGGCGAACGGGUGAGUAACACGUGAGGAACCUGCCCCAGACUCUGGGAUAACUCGGGGAAACUCGAGCUAAUACUGGAUACCGUCACCGGGGGGCAUCUUCUGGUGACGAAAGAAUUUCGGUUUGGGAGGGUCUCGCGGCCUAUCAGCUUGUUGGUGGGGUAAUGGCCUACCAAGGCGACGACGGGUAGCUGGUCUGAGAGGACGAUCAGCCACACUGGGACUGAGACACGGCCCAGACUCCUACGGGAGGCAG